rnacentral:rRNA from 1 species
CCUACGGGUGGCAGCAGUGAGGAAUAUUGGUCAAUGGACGAGAGUCUGAACCAGCCAAGUAGCGUGAAGGAUGACUGCCCUAUGGGUUGUAAACUUCUUUUAUAUGGGAAUAAAAUGUUCCACGUGUGGGAUUUUGUAUGUACCAUAUGAAUAAGGCUCGGCUAACUCGGUGCCAGCAGCCGCGGUAAGGCGGAGGAUCCGAGCGUUAACCGGAUUUAUUGGGUGUAAAGGGAGCGUAGGUGGAUUGUUAGGUCAGUUGUGAAAGUUUGCGUCUCAACCGUAAGAUUGCAGUUGAAACUGGCAAUCUUGAGAACAUUAGAGGUGGGCGGAAUUCGUGGUGUAGCGGUGAAAUGCUUAGAUAUCACGAAGAACUCCGAUUGCGAAGGCAGUUCACUGGACUGCAACUGACACUGAGGCUCGAAAGUGUAGGUAUCAAACGGGAUUAGAUACCCUUGUAGUC